rnacentral:lncRNA from 1 species
CCACCACACCUGCCCAGCAUUUUCAGUGCCAAAACUGGGAACAUUACAGGCACACCAGAAUGGCUGGUCACUCUCUAGUAACCACCUAAAUUUGUUCUUCUUGUCCAUAUUAUAUUUUAGUCACAAACCAAAUUUCUAGCACUUUGUAUCUAAGUUCAUCCAUGGGAUUAAUUCUGACCAGUGGAAUGAUGUGUACACUUCUGAACCAGGUAGUUGACUAUGUUAUGUACCUUCCCAAUGUUUAUUUCCUUUCAUCUGCUGGCUGAUCACAACAGGCACAAAGUGGAAACAGCCUGGGGUCCUGAAUAGCUGUCUGGAGGAGGGUUUGCCAUGUCUUAUCAGAUGAGUAAUGAACUUAAUUGUGUUAAUUCAUUGAUAUUUUGGAGUUGUUUGUUAUAUCAAUUAGCAUAUCCUAAUUAAAUGACAGAAUUUAUUUUUAAAUAAUAUUAAAAGCAAAAGUAAUUUGUUCAUUGUUCUUACCAUAGGAGACAGCAUAUAAGGAAGCUAUAAAAGGCCAGUCUUCAUGAACCAUACUGUAUUCUAAGAAAAGUUGCCCUAGCAACUUAAAAGUAUCUGUGAGUUUAUGUAAAUAAACUCACUUGGGAGGCCGAGGCAGGUGGAUCACCUGAGGUCAGGAGUUUGAGACCAGCCUAGCCAACAUGGUGAAACCGCCAUCUCUACGAAAAAUACAAAAAUUAGCCAGGCAUGGUGGCGGGCGCCUGAGGCAUGAGAAUCGCUUGAACCCUGGAGACAGAGGUUGCGGUGAGCCAAGAUCGCACCACUGCACUCCAGCCUGGGCAACAGAGUGAGACUUUGUCUCAAAAUAGAUAAAUAAAUAAAUAAUAAACUCACAGUUUUAAGCCUCAACAGGCAUGUAGUAUCCUUAACAGGCAAGUAGUAUCAUUUCCUCCAUUUUCGUGGAUAAAGAUAGGACUUAGAGGGGUUUUGUUUUCAUUUAAUUUGCACAAAGAUAAAUGCCAAACCUGAGAAUGAACUCCUGAUUCCUGAUAUGAAACUCUAUGUUCUUCCAUUAAGCUAUAUUUCCUUUACAUAUUCUAUAAUCACAGGUACAUACAGACACACAUAUAUGCACACACUAUAAAGCAAUAAUAAUAGAACGGUCACAUGUUCACAUUAAGUGAAAAUGUCUAUUUCUGUCUAACUAGAAGGUUACUAGGAAUUGAAAAAACUGAUAGAGAUUCUGACAAGUCUGUUAUGUAAUCAAAUAUGGCCAUUCUGGGAACAUUCAUUGACCAGAGAUUAAGCAACAGUGUUAAGAAUCUUUUCUUACUCUUAAGUGGUAUGUAUUCAAUUUCCAAAUGAUGGUUCUAUCUCUAUAUUUCAUUGAUCUUUGACUCGGGUCAUAGUAACAAAAUAAAAUCAUUAAGAUAAUUAACCUAAUAUUCUCUUCCUCCAUGUCACGAAAACAAGCCUGAAAGUUAAACAUAAUAAUACUGUAUUUGGUUAAGAAUUUAGUUUACAGAGAAAUGUAUUAUGUUCCCAAGUUUUUUCUUCAAUUUUAGCUAUAGAGGCAAUAAUAAUGGGUUUAAAAAUCAAGGCAAGGUGAAAAAGGCUGUAUGAAAGCGUGGUUGGCAGGAUUUUGUCUAAAUAAAACAAGAAAAAGAUGAGAUUGAAUUUUAGUGUUUAAAAUUUAACAUUAAGCAAAAUUACAUCAGGAUAAGAAUUUUUCCUAUGGCUGAAAUGAGAACUUAACUGGAGAAACAUUUAUAUCUUGGCAUGACGAUAAAAGUGAGAGAGAAAUAACAUCACAAUAUAUUGCUUCAUCAGAUCACAGUUUUAGCUUCAUGCAAAGGUACCUCGAGCUGGGAAUAUUUUUUAAAAUUUCAUUCCUCUUCCAACACUUAAUCUGUUGGUGACUUCAAAAGAAAUCCAAAGUAAUUUCAACGUUAAUAUCUCCCUGUGCUAUCACAUUCUGUCUUCCUCUCACCUACACUUCUUGGAAGAGUGGCGUAAUUAUAGGAAUUCCAUCCACUUAAUAGUCAUUCAUCUUUAAAGCUAUACACUCUGCAUUCUUCCUCCAUCUGCUUUUUCCCAACUGCUUUUGAGUAAAUACAACUUGUGUCCUUUUAUUUCUGAUUUAUUACCUCCUAAAAUUUGCUGUAGCAUCAGAAAUAGCUGAUUACCUGUUCCUUCAAUGUUUGGAUCUUAGUGAUAUUACAAAGAACCUAUUUCUGUGAAUGUUCCAACUCACUCUUUGGUGGGUGGAUUUCAUUUAUUUCAAGCAUCCUCCCAAUCUAGACAUUCCUUGAUGUUGCCUUCUUAUAUCACUUUUUCACUGAAGUGUUAUAUUUACUUCCAUUCCUACUCACUCUCACAGUAUUCUAUUCAAAAUUGUGGUCUUUGGCUGUAGUUUGGAGUUUUUCUUUCUUUCUUUUCUUUUCUUUUUCUUUUUAUUUUUUUUUUAGAUGGAGACUUGCUCUGUUGCCCAGGCUGGAUUGCAGUGGUGCAGUCUCAGCUCAUUACAAUCUCUGCCUCCCAGGUUCAAGCGAUUCUCCUGCCUCAGCGUCCCAAGUAGCUGGGAUUACAGGUGCGCACCUUCAUGCCCGGCUAAUUUUUGCAUUUUCAGUAGAGGCAGGGUUUCGCUGUGUUGGCCAGGCUGGCCUUGAACUCUUGACCUCAGCUGAUGUCCCCGCCUUGGCCAACCAAAGUGCUAGGACUACAGGCAUGAGCCACCACACCCAGCACCAAGUUUUUCUUGAAAUACAGAUUGACAGUUAUUUAUUUGUAGUUAAAAUAUGCAAAGGUAUAGUAUUAAAAAGUCAUCUUAAGAUAUUUUACUUAGAAAAGUAUCAGCAUAUUAG